UACAGAGGUCUCGAGCGUUAAUCGGAAUUACUGGGCUUAAAGGGUGCGUAGGCGGUCCCGUAAGUACUUUGUGAAAUCCCAUGGCUCAACCAUGGAAUUGCUCGGUAGACUGCGGGACUUGAGGUCGGUAGAGGUCGCUGGAACCCUAGGUGGAGCGGUGAAAUGCGUAGAUAUCAGGAGGAACACCGGUGGCGAAGGCGGAUUUCUGGACCCAGUUCUGACACUGAUGAGCGAAAGCCAGGGGAGCAAACAGG
rnacentral:rRNA from 1 species